rnacentral:pre_miRNA from 1 species
UGCUUAUAUACUUUUGAUUGUUGCUCAGAAAGCCCUUUUUUUCGAAAUUUUACAGUUGACUUUCGAGCUGCAAUUAAAAACAAAUAAGUU